rnacentral:rRNA from 1 species
UACGUAGGGUGCAAGCGUUAAUCGGAAUUACUGGGCGUAAAGCGUGCGCAGGCGGUUGUGUAAGACAGAUGUGAAAUCCCCGGGCUCAACCUGGGAACUGCAUUUGUGACUGCACAGCUGGAGUGCGGCAGAGGGGGAUGGAAUUCCGCGUGUAGCAGUGAAAUGCGUAGAUAUGCGGAGGAACACCGAUGGCGAAGGCAAUCCCCUGGGCCUGCACUGACGCUCAUGCACGAAAGCGUGGGGAGCGAACAGGA